rnacentral:rRNA from 1 species
CAGUAGCCGCGGUAAUACGGAGGGUGCAAGCGUUAAUCGGAAUUACUGGGCGUAAAGCGCACGCAGGCGGUUUGUUAAGUCAGAUGUGAAAUCCCCGAGCUUAACUUGGGAACUGCAUUUGAAACUGGCAAGCUAGAGACUUGUAGAGGGGGGUAGAAUUCCAGGUGUAGCGGUGAAAUGCGUAGAGAUCUGGAGGAAUACCGGUGGCGAAGGCGGCCCCCUGGACAAAGACUGACGCUCAGGUGCGAAAGCGUGGGGAGCAAACAGGAUUAGAUACCCGUGUAGUCCCUGUCUCUUAUAC